GAGCCUACCAGAGCCCAGUGAAGGCUGGAAAUUUUAAAUAAAAAAAUUCUGUUUAAUAAGAGAACCAUGUUUUCCAUAAAGCUGCCACCCAUCCAUGGUAAAAACAUGAAGCAUGGAAGAGAAAAUUCAGAGGACUCAGAUGAAGAAAGCUAAAAAGAGAAAAAUGGACAGCGAAAAGGAAAGACCAUGAAAGGGCAGAGCCAUCUCUUGGGGUUAGCUAAGGCCUGAAUCAAUCUGAGGCGGCUGGUGAAAUGCGAGCAUAUGUUUCCAAGCAAAAUAUUAAAAUUUCAUGAUCAAUAAUGCUGAAGGCUGCAGAACAUACAAGCAAAAUAAAUGCUGACAAUUCACCAGCACAUGAAUUUAAUAAAAUGUCAUCCUCCCGUCUCAGCAGCAGUGCCGGGAGGAGAUGAUCGUCCUGAUUAGAAUCUGUCAAAUAAAUCUCCGUAUGUGAGGUGAUAAUAAACUCUGGACAG